ensembl:lncRNA
AUGUGGAGGGUUACACUCCUCUGGUCACACCUGUGAGGGUUGGCGGUUCGAUCCCGGGUGCUGCUAACCUGCACGUCCACGUGUCCUCGAGCAAGACACUUGGCCCAGCACGUGGCCACAGUGUGUGGAUGUUGUGUGAGGGAGCUGCUGUCACCACUGUGGCCUGUGAAGCCACAGCAGCGCACAGAUGGCCUGUGAGACCUUUAGGUGACCUUUUGACCCCACGCCUGAGAGAAAACUACUAACCGACAUCCUCCCCGUGCAGCGUGACGCCCAUUGUUUCCCUAACAGGAUCUGUACUUUCUUCUUCCACUCGAGUCUUUCACAGAAUCACUGCACCGUUUUUUGUGUGUGUGUGUGUGUUUUUUUUGUUCUUCAAAAUGUUGUAAACACGAUUGUCUGAUUGUGUAAUUAAGGAGAACAACAGCGUGAUGUGCGUGCAGUUUGGUGGAGAC